rnacentral:rRNA from 1 species
UACAGAGGGGGCAAGCGUUGUUCGGAAUUACUGGGCGUAAAGGGCGCGUAGGCGGGAUGGUAAGUCGGUCGUGAAAUCCCUCGGCUCAACCGAGGAACGUCGAUCGAUACUACCGUUCUUGAGGAUUGCAGAGGAGACUGGAAUUCCCGGUGUAGCGGUGAAAUGUGUAGAGAUCGGGAGGAACACCGGUGGCGAAGGCGGGUCUCUGGGCAAUUCCUGACGCUGAGGCGCGAAAGCGUGGGGAGCAAACGGG